GUACGGUGAUGACAAUCUUAGGACACCUUUGGAGGUCACGACCUAUGAAACGAAAGUGUAACCUGAGUACG